rnacentral:rRNA from 1 species
GUGAGGAAUUUUGCGCAAUGGGGACAACCCUGACGCAGCGACGCCGCGUGGAGGACGAAGUCUUUCGGGAUGUAAACUCCUGUCAGUGGGGACGAUAAUGACGGUACCCACAGAGGAAGCACCGGCUAACUCCGUGCCAGCAGCCGCGGUAAGACGGAGGGUGCAAGCGUUGUUCGGAAUUACUGGGCGUAAAGCGUAUGUAGGCGGCAAGUUAAGUUCAAUGUUAAAGCCCACGGCUCAACCGAGGAGAUGCAUUGAAUACUGGCUAGCUAGAGGGUGUUAGAGGAAGACGGAAUUCCCAGUGUAGCGGUGAAAUGCGUAGAUAUUGGGAGGAACAUCGGUAGCGAAAGCGGUCUUCUGGGACAUACCUGACGCUGAGGUACGAAAGCGUGGGGAGCAAACGGGAUUAGAAACCCUAGUAGUCC